UAAAACCGCUAGGGGUGCUUCGAAUGAUGGAAGCUGAGAGAGGCAAACGCCUUAACCCUUAUCACCUGAUCUGGUUCGGACCAGCGGAGGGAAGCGGGCACGUUUUCUC
rnacentral:ncRNA from 2 species